rnacentral:lncRNA from 1 species
AUAGUGCGAAAUCUGCACUGGAGCAAAACUGCUCUCGGGGACCGGUCCCUGGCAGGGAGAGACCGGUCCCAUCGGCUGGUGUCGCGGGGGUUGCUUGAGGCAACCGGUCCCUGGCAGUGAGGGACCGGUUCCCGAACGUGAUCCCAGCGCGAAAAGCCAAAAAUUGGCUAAGUCCUGAAGUCCCAGUUCUCGGGAACCGGUCUCUCAGGAAGGAACCGGUCUCCCGAGGACCGGUCUCUCUGGGAGAGACCGGUACCCGAACGCGCGACCCGAGCUGAAGCUCUCGGGGACCGGUCCCAAGUCGGGGAGACCGGUCCCUCCGCGCGCAGAACGCCCAGGGAGGGCUGCGCACAGAGUGAAAAGUGGAGGGGCUUGGAUGGAUAUUGUUACAAUAGAGGGCUUAUUAGUCCCUCUCUCCCUCUCACUCUCUCUCAGUUCACUCUCUCUCCCUCCCUCACACUCUCUUGCUUUCUCUCUCUAGAAAAGAAGGAGAAAAGAAGAAGAAGAAGAAAGGAGAAGGAAAGAAGGAAGAAAGGGAAGGAGAAGAAGAAGGAGAUCAACAAAAGAAGGCUUUUGGACUUCUCCCUCAUCCUCUCUUCUCUCUUUUAAGCUAACCUAGAGGUAAGCUUCUAACCCUAGUUUGUGAAAUUUGGGGUUUUUGGGUUUUAGCUCUUUGGAUGGGAUCAAAUGGAUCCCUAGCACCAUGAAUGGAAGGAUUAGAGCUAGAAUCUAGGGUUUUGAGAUGGGUUUAGCUUGAUGCUAACCCUAGGGCACCAAAAUAGGGUUUUUCGGUAAAGUAUGGGAUUGAUCUCAUUUGAGGCCUUGUAAACCUAAUUGGUAGGUGCCUAAACGCGGGGGCGAAGUCGGAAUUUCGAUUCGUCGAGCGGGUCAAGAGCUAUCGGCAAAAUAAGGCCGAUUGAGCAUCAUUUGGACCAAGAAGACCGAGGCUUCGUCGUAAAGGACGCCGAAGCGCACUUCUAGAGCCUCCUUAUACGCAAAAGGUGGGGGGUGUCGUUCCGGAACAUCCGGGUUUCUUUUUAUGUCUAAGUUACAUAUGUGUUGAUCAUAUUGCAUUAUAGGAUUAAUAAAUGUAUAUUUCCUUUUCCCUUGCAUGCUUCUUAGUAGUGUACUUAUGAGUUGAACACCUAGACUAGGGUAGCAUGAGGAUUGGGUCUUAUGGCAUAGAAUCCUAUAGCGGCAUAAAGAGCCGAACUUGGACAUAGCCUAGUAGAGAGGCAUUGAACUAGUGUAGUAGAGACACUAAACUUGAACGAGUGGCAUGUCAAUUAGUAGAAAACUUACUACAAUGAUCGAACGAGUGGCAUCGAGUCUAGUGUAGUAAAUUUGACAUGAACCUAGGGAUAGUAGAAGUCCCAACAUUGAUUAUAUAUCAUGACUGUGCAGCAGAGGCACAUUGACCCUAGUAGACAGGGUAUCCUCUUGUGAGGAUUGGAUCAUACUCACUAGUCUGUUUUUGCUUGUCGGUGGUCGCUCCACCGAGGCACGAGUCUCCGGAGUACUUCACUAGGGGCAGACGUAGUUGUCCCGCAGACGGUCUCGGUGUGCGAGUGCAGUUUCUCCUCACCUAUGAGAUUGAGAGUGAGUCGAGGGUUUAACCUUCGGGUUAACCAAGUGAAUUGGGUAAGAAACAUGAAAUGCAUAGUAGACUUGCAUUAUUACCUUGAGUAGACAUAGUGUAUGUUGUAGUUUACAUUACUAUGCACCCUUAUAUACUCAUGACAUGAUACUAGCAUGAUAGUAGUUGUUGCAUGCAUUAUUAUCAUUGGUGGCAUGAUAGAGUAGUUGCAGUUUAUCUUUGUAUAUCUAUCUAUCUCUCUAUCUGUGCCAGCUUAGACCUAGUGGGAAAACCGGCGGCGUCGGCGGCCGAACCCACUGGGAACUAUAUUUAUAUAGUUCUCACCCCGUGUGGUUUUGGGGUACAGGUACACACAGAGGCGAGUCAAGCGAGGACCGCGGUAAGGGCAUAGCGCCCUAAGUGAGUUUAGUUGGUAGCUUUUCCUUUAUGCAUUAGAGUACCCUCGUGUACUAGAUGAUGUUUGGAUAGAUAUGGGAGAGCUAUUUGUAUUUUGAGGAAAACUAUGUAUUCACAUUUUGGUAGAUGAAAAAUGUAAUGCAAUCAAAUGAUGUAACUAUCGAAUGAAUGUAAUAGUUAGACUAUCUCUCUUUAUACACUAGUAUAUUACUUGUGGUUCUUGCUCUUAGAUGUAUUGCACUUGUGUGCGCUAUGUUCGAUCAUGUAUGUUAUCUAAGCAUUCCUGGGCGCUUACUUGUACAUGAUCUGGUUGUCUAGCCUUGGGCGGACAGGCGAGGUGCUGUCCGUUCGGCGUCUGUUCGACGCGCCCGAACCGGACCAAAUUGGUAGCGGCAUCGGGGCGUGACAG